CAAUGCCAGAGGAGCACCCGGUCACCAGCACCCUCCUGGUCCCCAUGGCUUUUUGACCUCUGAUCCCAAGGCUCAGGAGGAUCCUGAAUACUCAGUCAAAAACUGCUGAGGAAACAGAAAUGUGUCACCACUUUGUCCAAGAUCACAGAGAUGUCGUCCAUGAUCACAGAGAGUCUUCAUACAGUGAAGAAGUUCUUUGAAACUAGGACUGAGGCCUCCAGGAUUCAAACUUCCACCAUUAAAUCACAGAGAGAAGAGACAGAUGUCAAGACAUUUCUAGAAGGUCGUCAGCUGCUGUCGUCUUCUCCUCCUGCAGAGACAAGAACACGUGUUAAUCACACCAACAUUUUUGACCGUUUUUGAUACCCAUGACAUGCUGCUCAAAACAAAGAAACUAUCUUAAAGCAGCUAUCUUACAUUUGUUAUCCACAAACUCACACUUCUACACCGUGUUUGUGGGUUUGGUUAGAUUUUGUGUUUGUCAUUUCAAUUUGGUAUUUUGCUAUUUCAAACAGUGCAUUAUCAGUACUCAAAUUCAAUCUAUUACUGUGGACAAAGUGUUUAGAAUUUUUACAUAUUGUUACAUUAUUUGAUAUAAUGCCUUUUUCUAUUUGUGCUGCUGCAACACUGAAUUUCCAUGCCGUGGGACUAAUAAAGGAUUAUCUUACUACUGAA